UACAGAGGUCUCAAGCGUUGUUCGGAUUCAUUGGGCGUAAAGGGUGCGUAGGCGGCGCGGUAAGUCGGGUGUGAAAUCUCGGAGCUUAACUCCGAAACUGCAUUCGAUACUGCCGUGCUUGAGGACUGGAGAGGAGACUGGAAUUUACGGUGUAGCGGUGAAAUGCGUAGAUAUCGUGAAGGAAGACCAGUGGCGAAGGCGGGUCUCUGGACAGUUCCUGACGCUGAGGCACGAAGGUCAGGGGAGCAAACGGG
rnacentral:rRNA from 1 species